GUGCUCGCUUCGGCAGCACAUAUACUAAAAAAAAACUGUACCGAUACAGAGAAGAUUUGCAUGGCAAGGAUGACACAAAUUCAUUAGCGUUCCACAUUUUA
rnacentral:snRNA from 1 species